rnacentral:lncRNA from 1 species
UCAAGGGGGGGAAUGUUGGAAUUGAUCUCACGGUAAACAAACCAAGAGAAAAAUAAGGGAGACAAAGUCUCCACCCUCUCACGAGUGUGCCUUGAUCGGGAGCACAUAUAACAACUUUUGGUUCUAGUCCCAUGUACCCAACACACACAUAUAUAUAAGGAAAAAAAGGGGGUUUUAUUACUGAUAACAGAACCACAAUCAAAGCCUCCUAACUGCCGAUCCUAAACGUGUGGUGAGGUACGUGAAGACCAUCGACCACCACCGGCCACCGUGAAGGCAGUGCUGGCGGUUUCCUCCUGCCAUCGGCAAGGCUCCUGGAGCAGCUGCUGCAUCUCCACAAGUGCCUGCUGCCAUCUACGUCACCCAGGUGGUGUUGCCCUUCUUCCCCAGGCAUGUCUUCACUGUCGGAGACCCCAAGGUGCCGCCAUGGGCUAUCUCCUGCUGAUCCCUGCCAAUCACGGUUAGUCACUACUAUUCCGCAUAAGAGGUGUUCUAAUCACGAGAUUAAGAUCAUGGGUUAAUUUAAUCUAAAGGAAUUAUGUCUAACAAGAACGACCCUCACAUAAAAGAAGAAGCGGGCUUCUUCAUGUGUAAGAUGGUAUGGCUCCGUUUCAGUGUCAAAAUCCGAAGAGAACAGAUAUGUAAAGAACAUCAUAUCCAUCUAGCACGCCCUCUUCAGUGUAGCGCAGUCUAACAUUGUUCAUGGUUUCAGGUGGAGGCAUAGCCAUCUGAGCCCCGGUUGCAGGGUUGACUAGUAUGAGAUUUGAUCGCUUAUCCGCGGUGAUGAGCCAGCCGUGGGAGGAGCCCAUAACGUGGCGUGUGCGGAAGGCAGGCUCCGAUAGAGUGACGUGGUAAAGCUUGUUGGUGGACAUGUUAUGCAGGGUGACCGUGUCAGCAUCACGGUCGCCAGAUGAGUAAACAAGGCAGGGGCUCUGGUUCGGCGAGCACCGCGGAAGACGGCGGGCCUCCAGAUAAAUGAGGUGCCAUGAUCGACAGACCGCACCUAAGCUGAAGAGAUCAGGGAUCUCGAGAGUGCCAAAGAUCUGGAGGAGCAGGUCAGCCUGAAGCUGGGACCAAUCGCAAUUGGCGCUCGAAUCUGGAGAAUCAUCCGAAACAGAAGCUUUCUCCAUCGAUUUUCGCAGGGGAUACUUGAGCUCAAUUGUGUGUAUGAUAUAUAGGUAGCUCCGAACCAGACUGGAAGGUGGAAUCGGACUACAGAAGAACUUUCAGAAGGAUACGGAUUACCCAGAGAAAUACUGUGUGCAGUAGUGCUGUGCACCUGCACUCAUGACCUCAGAUCCUCCCAGAAAGCCAAUCAGAAAAAAACAACUCGCCGGAGAGGAAUGAAUCAGGCGCCCGCCUCUAGCUGGGAGCAAAACCCUAGGGCCCCGAGAAUUCGAACGCACAAGGGUCGAGGACGAGCUGAGUAGCAGGAAUUAAUACGCGGAGCCGGGCGGGAGCUGAACCCUACUAGGCUGGGGAUUCGAGGGAGGGAGCGGAGAGGGGUUGUGCGGGUGCGUACGCCACGGCGAGGUCGAGCUGGUGAGCGCUGGUGGGCUUGUGCGCCGUCGCGACUUAGCUCCACGUGCUCAUCUCCGCCGCCCGCCGCCCGCCGCUGUCGCCGCCGGAGGAGGAGCAGAAGGGGUCUGAGCGGUGGAGGGGCGAUGCGCUGCGCUUCCCUUCG